GGCCAGCCUUGCUGAAUUAUACACCCGUGUCUUUUGCGUACUUCUUGUUUCCUUGGUGGGUUCGCCCACCACAAGGACAAACCAUAAACCUUUUGUAAUUGCAAUCAGCGUCAGUAACAAUAAUAAUAAUUACA
rnacentral:misc_RNA from 1 species